GACGAACGCUGGCGGCGUGCUUAACACAUGCAAGUCGAACGGUGAAGCGCCUUCCUUUUUGGUGGUUGUGGUUGAGUGGCGAACAGGUGCGUAAAACGUGAGUAACCUGCCCCCUUCUUCUGGAUAACCACAUGACAGUGUGGCUCAUACGGGAUAUUCUGGGUCUGUCGCAUGAUGGGUCUGGGAAAGAUAUUGUUUCGGUGGGGGAUGGGCUCGCGGCCUAUCAGCUUGUUGGUGGGGUGAUGGCCUACCAAGGGGGUGACGGGUAGCCGGCCUGAGAGGGGGGACGGGGACUGAGGGAGUGGGACACGACCAAGAGUCCGAGAGGAGGCAGCAGCGGGUAAGAGUGGACAAUGGGCGGAAGAUUGAAGCAGCGACGCCGCGUGGGGGAUGGAGGCCUGUGUGUUGUGAGCCGCUUUCGCGAGUGAAACAUGCCUGCCGCGUCUGAGGGGGGAUUGACGGUAGCUGGAUAAGAAGCGCCGGCUAACUACGUG
rnacentral:rRNA from 1 species